CUGAUCCCUCGGCGCGUAAAGCAAUGGAUAAGAUAAAUGCAGGUAUUCUCCUUCAUCCAUAUAUUAUUCUUUCAUUUGACUAACCCCACAUUAGUAGACUCUUACCUAUGGCUUUUAAUUACUCUUGCAGAUAAUAGUACUGCACUACUUUGCAGAACGUGUCGGAGCAGAGGUGGUCGAAUGUGCAUGUGUUAUUGAAUUGCCAGAACUGAAGGUAGGAUGCUUGUUAUAAUCUUAUUGUAUUACUUUUUAUGAUCAAAUUGCUUGGAGCUAUUAUACUGAUCAGCAUGCAUGACUUCUGCUUAUUAUUCUUGUUUUAAUCUGAGUGUGGCGAAAGACUAAUUUAUAGUUUAACCUUGGAAUGAACUCAUUGUGGCAAAAGACUAUAAUUUUACUUUUGAAUGAACUGUUUUUCUAUUUAAACAUUUUGUCGUGGAAAGAAGUAAUAUAUAUAUAGUAUAAUUGCUGAAGUGUUUUUUACUAGUUUAAGCAAAUACCUUUUGACUGUUUCUUAAAUAAAUAAACAUCUUCCUAAAUAACUCUUCGCUUUUAAGAUAAACUGCUCAAUCUGAACUCAAACUUUCUUCACGAGCACAAACACCACCUUGGCUGUGUAAUCAUUUUGCUAAGAUAUGUUUUGGAAUCCAUUUAUAUUAUUAUAAGUUUUUAGGGAUAAUUUCAUACAGCUCCUUGUAAACAUAUCGAAUAGCAAAUAUAUCCCUACAAAGUUCAAAUUGUUAGGUUAAUUCCUUCAAAAGACCUUUCAUUCUCUCUAACCUCGACUCUAUUUUGAAUUAAUUAUUCACCUUGUUGUUAUCUACAGGCAUUGUCAAGUGAAAAAGAAAAGUUAAAUAAUUCAUCUAUUACAAGUAAAUAGUUUGUAGAAAAUAGUUGGAAUUGCUGAAGUGGUAGUUUUGUUCUUACGAUUGAAAUCAGCUGGUUUGUAGUUCUUGCCUGUCCUUGCCAUUUCAGAAAAAUGAAAUUUGUCAACUUUUGUGUCCCAUUCUGUAGAUUUGAUACGUUUAGAGUAAUUUUAUACAACAAAUGCUUCGCUUAAUAGUUUUUUUCGGUUAAGUUGCGUGGUUUUUAUUUUCUGUCUGUUUUAAUUUAAGCAGGCUAAUACUCUAUGAUUGUAUCUAACAUGCAUUCGGAACACGCUGGAGCUGCGGAAAUUGAAGUGGGAAGCAAGAGUUUCAAACAUGCGGUGUUUGUUAUUUUUUAGCUACAUUUUGAACAAGUAUUUUUUGUUAGAACUUAUGUUUGAAAUUUAAUUUGAAUACUGAGAUUGUAAUUUGAGAGUUGAGACUAUUUGUUAUACAAAUUAUUAAUGCUUUUUGGUUACUAAUAUUUUUUAAUAUUUCAAUUCAUUGUAGUAUUUAGUUGUUAAUCAAGUAGUUUAAUAUUAAUUUAAUUGCCGCUAUAAGCUUUAUUUACCAAUCAUUUAGUAUGUUUUUUGCGACAAUUAUAAUUAAUUAUAGCGGCAUUUAUAAUAGUUGUUAUUGCAUACUAUUUAGCGGCAUUUAUAAUAGUUGUUAUUGUAUAAUAUUUAGCGAUAUUUUUAAUGGUUGGUAUUGCAUACUAUUUAGCGGCAUUUAUAAUAGUCGUUAUUGUAUAAUAUUUAGCGGCAUUUAUUUCGAUUUUUACCAACCGCCGGAAUAAAUGCCGCUAAAACUUUUAGCGACCCUGCCAAUAGUGGCAAUUGUUAAAAUUGCCACAAAAUAUUUUAGCGGCAAUUGUAAUUGCCGCUAAUUUAAAAAAUAAUCAUCGCUAAAACAUAGUUUUGUUGUAGU
rnacentral:lncRNA from 1 species